UACGAAGGGUGCAAGCGUUACUCGGAAUUACUGGGCGUAAAGCGUGCGUAGGUGGUUUGUUAAGUCUGUUGUGAAAGCCCCGGGCUCAACCUGGGAAUUGCAUUCGAGACUGCUCUGCUAGGGUGCGGAAGAGGGAAGCGGAAUUUCCGGUGUAGCGGUGAAAUGCGUAGAUAUCGGAAGGAACACCAGUGGCGAAAGCGGCUUCCUGGUCCAGCACCGACGUUCAGGCACGAAAGCGUGGGGAGCAAACAGG
rnacentral:rRNA from 1 species